AAGAGGUGAAGGGUAGAAGCGGUAAACGAGUGAGCAGAACAAGACCAGACAGGUCUCCAAGUCCUGGCCUCCAAGAUGGGCUUGGGAAGAGUCCUCCCAAGGCUCCAGCUGUGCUCAGCACCACCUACAAGGACUGUGAAGAUGCCAGGAAGAGGCCUCGGAGACCAGCUCAGCAAUCGCCACUCCAUCCCCUCCCUGGAGGCAGCUGGGAGAGGACCAGGCCUCCUGUCCAGUGCUCAUGCCCCACUGGCUACUUGGCCUCUACCCAGAGCUCCCUGCAGAUGUGGGCUGACGGCUGAGGAAUGCGCCCGUCUGGCAGGCGAGGACCCCACUCCCAGGAGGAGCAGCGUGAGGGUCUUCCAAACUGGAAUGUGGACUGCGAGACCUGGAGGUUCAGCAGCCAUCUUGGGAUCGUGCAGCAGCAAGCAUGAUUACAGAGCCAAAAAAUGAAACAACAUGGAGACAAAUGGCCACUCUGGGCCCCUGAGCCACCCCCAAACUUCCUUCCCCAGGUUCCUUGUUAUAUUAGACAACUAAAGCAGUUAAUUCCUAACUGGUGGAGAAUUAUAUAUCUGAAAGUGGAGUCCUGAGGUAAAAGAAUUUAAAAUGUGGAAUUGGCUAAGUUGAGAAAGAAAGGAGACAGUGCAUACAGGUUGGAAGGUUGGAGAUCCUAUCAUGAAAUGAUAAAAUAUUUGGUCAAACUGUCUUCUGAGGGACCUUGGAUAUAAGCCAAAUGGAAGCCGACGUGUGGUGACAGAAGAAGAAGCAAGAAAAGUUUGGAAAGUUGGUAUCUGCUGCCUCCAUGCAUCUUUCCUCAGAGACCAGGAAAGGCGAAAUGUUGGUGCCACUGGCUCUGGGAUCAGGCAGUGCUAGAAGCACCUGCUAGAAGGACCUCAACGAAGCUGUCAGUAACCAUUUAGGGACGGUGAGGAAAUUGCUAUGACGGCUGAAGAAAAGGAAAUUCCUGCUGUAGUGGUGAGAUGUCUGGGGGAAACUACUGUCUGUGAUAAAGUGGAAAAGAGAGAGCACCUAAUAAAAACAGAAAAGUAUUUUCCAGCUAAGGAGAAUCUUAGAACACAGAAAGUGCUGAUUGACUUGUCUGGCUGCCUCUGAUGAAAUAUAUGAAGAAAGAAGUGAACUGUAAGUGGGAUGAUUCCAUCUUUUAGCAGAACUUAGAGGAGACACACAGGGCCAAGGACAUGGUUCCUGCUACCAAAGUGUUCUCAGGUGACAAAUGACUUCAGGCAAAGUCAGGUCCAGGGUCCCAAAAAUAAAAAGGGAAGAUGAAGUCAAAAUCAGACCCUUUAUGGAGACCUCAAAAGGACUUCAGGGGCCCUCCCUGGUGGCGCAAUGUGUUAAAGAGCAGCAAUGCGAAGGUAGCUGAAGCCACUUCAGCCCGAGUUUGAAUCCAGGCGAGGGAACUGACCUACAUG